CCAGAUGGCCCAAAACUCAGCAUGCGUUGGCCAUUAUGUUCCCCCUUCCCAUCUACAACAAAAAUAACCGGACAUCGUACUCGUUUCAGUAUUAAUCAACAUUUUCAACAACAAUAGCAACGACACAGAUCAGCAACAGUACAACUGGAACGGUGCUCCUAAAUGCAGUUAACUUACCGGAAAAUGGUGU